ACUGAAAGUUACAUUUCAUUUAUAUUCUUCUUGUGGCAUUUUAAAAUGUUUGCAUAAUUAUUUGGCAACGUGAGUGAAAAUUGAGUUGGUAAAAAAAAUCUAAGCUAUACUUUUGUAGGAACACUAAAAUAACAUUUCAGUUGUUAUUUAGAACUGUAUUCUAUACGCCAUCAUGUGGCAACGCAUCCGUGGCGAACCAUUCUGUUCUGUUGCCUGCACCACGAGUAGUCAAGCUCAACUGCAUUGGGAACAAAGCGCGUGAGCCGCAAGGCAUUGUUGAGGCCCGCUGAUUGUUCGGAUACCUGGUCAAGCAUGAGAAUCUACAAGGCUCAUUGCAACAGAGAAACAAACAGCACUGGGAAUGACUGGCCGCAAAUGAGCAGAUUUGCGUUUUGAAUCAUUUGACAAUUGUGAAGAUCUGACAUGCUAGGAGGAGGAUGUUCUUGAUCCUCUGCAAAGUGAAAUAGCUCUUAAUACUUGUAAAAUAAUGGAUGUAAUACAAUAAUGAGAAAUACAAUACUGAACAUAGUACAAGUAAUUUUUUACUGGCUUAUACAGUUCAUCCUUUCCUUUUACCACUUCUUUCUAAGGAAUUCGCCUUCCUAAGAUCUUUUCUGAAACUUGAUCUCAAAUUUUGUAGCUAACUUUUUAUUGCACUUUGGACCACAGUUGAAAUACUGUCUAUAAAUGUUUCAUAUAGCUCUUCCUCUGUCCUAUUUUUUAUAUUCUUGCUUUUGUAAUGUUCCUGGGUCAUUUACCACAAUUACAACCUUUUGCAGUACAAUUUUAUAAGUUUUUUGACAUGGUCACUCCCGCACCAUACUGGAAGCAACUAGAACUUGCUGUCAUGUGGAAAUCACAGGAAAACUCAGACUUCCUGGUUGCGGCCUGGCCUGCUGCUGUGGAAAUCCACAUGUGUGCACCCAGCUGAUGAGGCCAGAUCAGCAGUUCUGAUAAUUGCAGCUGACAGCCUCAACAUCGAGGCUCCACUGACACAGAGGCAGGGACUGCAGCUGUUCCAGAAUCCACUGGAAAUACCUGUUCUCUGUUGCUGAAAUCUGCCUGUAUGUGACCAAGCACUGCAGCCGUACGGAGACAGUUCAGUACAAGACACUGAAUUGGUCAGAGAGUAAGGGACUCACAACUGUUUUGUUUUUCUUGAUAGUGCUUAUCAUACAUUAUUAUUAUUGUGUCAAAAAUACACACUGAACAGCAAGCUCCUCCCAACACCCAAUGACUAGAGAAUGUGUGGAGAAGAAAAAAGAAGUUUCCUUGAAAUUGGAGAAGGGAACUACACUCGUCUGAAGAAAUGAGGAGAUAAUAUGACAGGAAAAUUAUUUACACAGGUUGUAGAUAAUUAAAGUAAAGCUGUAGUGGCUGCUGUAAGUUAUUAACUGUCCGCAUUGGGAGUACCAGUACCCUUGUUACGGCACUUUAAUACCUGAAAAGCUUCUCCUAACAAUCAGGUCAAUAAUAAUAGCAACAUUUCUGCAUCAGCAAAAUCCACUGUCCUGGACAAGUGCAUAAGAAUGUGUCCCGCAAGUCUGUGGCCAUUCAACAUAGUUGUAGGGGAAGGCUUUCAAGAUCUUGCACAGAUACUGAUAGAACUACGAGCACAGCACUGUAAUGCAAGUGGAAGAGAUGUGCUUCCUCACAUAUCAACAAUUUCUCACAUUGUUAAACAGAAGAUGAAUACCAUGUGGCUAUGGUCCUCCUCGUAUUGCAGUAUAUAGAGUACGGGUGUAUGUGCAUGUACAGCUGAUAUGUCGACAGACACAUACACGAAAAUGCAUUAUUUGACACUAACUAUGCAUUCAGUCUUGUGAUAGUUGCAGUGGAAAAUUAGGGUACUGUUUGUAGUAGAGUUCCCACCUGUUGUGGAGAAAAGUGCUAUAAAUAUACGGGAGGAAAUUGAAACUAACAUGAGGAAGUUAGGAAUAUUUGCAAGCCAUCUGUUAAGGGUUACAUUCAUUACCAAGUGUUGGGGGGGGGGGGGGGGGGGGGAAUAUGGAAAAGGCAACUGAGAACUACUGUCACCUUCUGUGUAAUAUUUACUCCCCUAGCACUGUUCUACACCACACUCGUAAGGAUAAAUGGUUGCAGGAAUAGAGUCCUAAUGUUUACUUGUCAUUGGAAGCAACAAAAAAAAUGUUACAACUUAUUUAAAAAGUAGUGGCCAUAUGAAAAACUCACAGUUGCAGUUUUACCAUCAAGCAGAAUGUACGUACUCACUGAAAUACUUUGUAUGUCAUACUAAAAUCUAUGUUUCUGGGGCACGAACAAAAUGCUGAAGUUUUAUGUGAAUUUGGAAAAAUACACACUCAAAAGCUGGCAUUACCAGGUGGCUGACAAAUUCAUUAAGUUUCUUGAAGUAUUUCAAGAAGUACUGAGGCUAUGAAAGUUAACAGUGGUCCGACCCUGUAGUUAUCGAGCGAGGUGGCGCAGUGGCUAGCACACUGGACACGCAUUCGGGACGGUUCAAUCCCGCAUCUGGCCAUCCUGAUUUAGGUUUUCUGUGAUUUCCCUAAAUUGCUCCAGGCAAAUGUUGGGAUGGUUCCUUUGAAAGGGCACGGCCGACUUCCUUCCCUAAUCCGAUGAGACUGAUGACCUCGCUGUUUGGUCUCUUCCCCCAAACAACCCAACCUCCAACCCUGUAAUUGGUUGUGCCAUAUGUGUACUACUUACAGAAGCACUGGGCUAAGAAUGAAGCAGACAGUGAGAUGAGAACACACAAAUAUGAAAAAUGGAUAUGUAACUACAUAAAAUUUAAAUUUUUAGUCAUAUAUUUUAAAUACCCGCAACAUGAUAAGAGAUUAUAUUUGAAGAAGACAGUGUGCCUCAAUAUUGUCAAUUAUUUUCAGGAAAUAGCACUGCUGAAAGCAUGGACUCUGAAUUUCUUACGUGAAAAAUGGAAAUAAAGCCUGUGCAUUUGCUUACAUUAUUUCUAGUACCACAGGCACAUCACAUGAAGCAACUUUCAGUAACAAAGAAAGAGGAAGUUCAUGCCACACCUAUGUUCCAAGUGUGGUGCACUUCAAGAAUUUAAUACAGAGGAGGAAGCCUCACCAUCAAUGCCUUCAAAACUUGCAAUGAGAUGAGGAGGAAGAGGAAACUGUCGAUGAAGUUCCCGUGUAUCUGGUAAUGAGAAAACUAGAUCAGGGACAGUCUCUUCAGGAGAAGUGGAAAUCAAGAGCAACAACUUAUCCUGGACCGUUGCAAGAGGCACAAGAAGUUCUAUGUAAACCUGUGUCUAGUGCUUCCAGUGAGAGGAUAUUUAGUAGAGCUGUGGUUGUUAUUCACAAUAAAUGUAAUAGAAUAGCUAUGGAAAAUGUGAAUGACCUACGUAUGGUGCACUAAAGUAGCAAUGUAAGUUUCACAUUCAUUUCCAUAACACACUAUUUUCACUAUCAUAAACCUCUAAGGUUAAUGCCUUGUUUUGGGAAUAAAUUUCCAGGAGGCUGUUAUACCAUUAUGAGAAGAUGAAUAUUUCUUUAUUUACUUGAAGAAGAAAGUUUUCAAUAAAGUUUGUAUAUAUUUCUUGUCUGUAGUUCGUGCUCUUACACAAUUUCAGCAUUAAAUUUUAACAAAUAUAUUUGUACCCAAGAGAUAAUUUAGGGGCUGCUUCGUACAACUGCGGUGUCAUACAUAUAUUUUUGCAGAUACCUAAGAGCAGCAGUUUCUAAACUUUUUAGACAUGUGACACUGUUUCGCAAAAAUCUGAUAUGUGCAAACCCCCCCCCUCUUUUUUAAUUACUUACUUAACAGGCAAAUAACUGAAUUCCAAGCAAAUGGUUUAACAGCCAUAAUGCUUUUAUAAAGUUUACAUUUCAAUUAGGGGUUUUUAAUACAAUGAGUAAGUUUAGUAAGCAAUACUAAGUAUUUUACAUAUUUCUGUUAACCUACAAGUUUUCAUUAUGGAAUUAACUGGCUCAAUCCUUUCUUGGAAUUUAAUGAGAAGGAUCUGCCUGCUUUGCAAGGUACAUAACUUUGAAGUCAGGAACUACAAAAUUACUUUCAGUGAGAAGUUUGUUGUUCUAUUUAUUUUUAAUACAACUGUAACAUGGAAAAGUCUUUUUUUCACGAAUUUGUGGAUGAAAAAGGUAACAAAGCAUUUACCACUUUAUAACUUAAAGUCACUGGAGAUUUUGAGAAGCUGCUCAUUUUAAUUCACACUUAAUGUGGAUUCUAAAAUUCUUGUUUCUUCCAAGAGAUUGUGAAUCCAAUUGUUACUACUACACAGAACACGGAAAUAGUCCCCUCAUAUGUUCUUUAAUUGUAGUCUUGACAUUUUGGUCUGAUGACAGAUGAAUUUCUGUUAGGAAAUCACGAAGAGUACCGAAGCACUAAAUUUCAUUGGAAUUCAAACAGCUUUCCCAAAUUGUAAGGUUUUUUAAUGGACAAUUCAGUAUCGUCUUGCACAGUACAAAUGUGUGCAUUUGGUCCCUGCUGUAAUAAAUUUAAACUGUGAUUUUUAAGAAAACUGCUGCCAAAUAAGCCACAAUCUGUACCAGACUGUGCCCUGGGAAAAAUGUAACUAGUGAGAAAAAGAUACUCUUAAUACAAUAUGAGAACAGUUCUGCCACAAAAUAACCACCUAAUUUCCUUGUAUAUCAAUAAAAAAUUCUAAAUACUUGCCAUUUCCUCACACAGUACUGUAAAAUUCCGAUAACUGGUAGGAUGUCCUUUUUUUUU